UUUAACACAUAAUCAAGAAAUAACCAUAAGUAUCAACAGUGGAACAGCCCAUGCUGCUGCUCUGCCUAUGGAGUAGCCAUUCUUUAUUCCCUUACUUUCUUAAUAAACUCGCUUUCACUUUAUGGAUUCAACUGUAAUUCUUUCUUGUGUGAGAUCCAAGAACCUUCUUGUAGGGUCUGGAUUGGGACCCUUUUCUGGUAACAUCUUCCUGGUGACCAUGAAGGGACAAUACUGAAGAGACCCCUGACCCUAAGGAAAUAGACUGCAGCACCAAUGGGCCAACUUUGGGGCGAUCAUCUUGCCCAGAAACAUCAUGUUGAAACUCUUGGUCAGAGGUUGGAUGAAAGCUGACAGGGUCCAUCCAGGAGCAAGUUUGAGCCUUGCCAGUUCCAUUUUGGGUGCUGAGUGGAGUGGCGACUAUAGCAAACCUGUGAUCUCUGGCUGCUGCUCAGAAGAAACAAGAGGGAGGGAUGAAUAAUGUAAAACUCUGGAUCAAUAUUCUAAUUCUGAGCCUCUAUUGGAAUCAGCUAGCAACCACAUAUCAGCUUGGUUUCAACAGUUUCCCAGUUCAUGGUUUGUGGCAAGCUGGAUUGAGCAAGUCUGUUGGCGCCAUUUUUUCAACAGCAUGUAGUCACUUUGUGUCUUCGUGUCACAUUUUGCUAAUUCUUACAAUCUGUCUCGUGAUUUUUUGGGGGGCACCAUGGGGGGGCACCAUGAACCACACCUAUACAAGAUGGCAAACUUAAUCAAUAAAUGUUUAUUUUCUAACUGCUUUACCAA
ensembl:lncRNA BANCR BRAF-activated non-protein coding RNA